rnacentral:tRNA from 7 species
CGCGGGGUAGAGCAGUUGGCAGCUCGUCGGGCUCAUAACCCGAAGGUCGCAGGUUCGAGUCCUGCCCCCGCAACCA